rnacentral:rRNA from 1 species
GAUGAACGCUGGCGGCGUGCCUAAUACAUGCAAGUCGAGCGGACGGACGAGAAGCUUGCUUCUCUGAUGUUAGCGGCGGACGGGUGAGUAACACGUGGAUAACCUACCUAUAAGACUGGGAUAACUUCGGGAAACCGGAGCUAAUACCGGAUAAUAUUUUGAACCGCAUGGUUCAAGAGUGAAAGACGGUUUUGCUGUCACUUAUAGAUGGAUCCGCGCUGCAUUAGCUAGUUGGUAAGGUCACGGCUUACCAAGGCAACGAUGGGUAGCCGAGCGGAGAGGGUGAUCGGCCACAUGAGAGCGGGGACGCCGUCCAGAGUCCUACGGGAGGCAGCAGAAGGGAAUGUUACGCAGUGGGCGAGAGCCUGACGGAGCAACGCCGCGUGAGUGAUGAAGGCCUUCGGAGCGUAAAACUCUGUUAUUGGGGAAGAACAUAUGUGUAAGGAACUGUGCACAUCUUGACGGUACCUGAUCAGAAAGCCACGGCUAACUACGUG